AGUGAACGCUGGCGGUAUGCCUAAUACAUGCAAGUCGAACGGCAGCACAGUAAGAGCUUGCCUUUACGGGUGGCGAGUGGCGGACGGGUGAGGAAUACAUCGGAAUCUACUUUUUCGUGGGGGAUAACGUAGGGAAACUUACGCUAAUACCUCAUACGACCUACGGGUGAAAGCAGGGGAUCUUCGGACCUUGCGCGAGUGAAUGAUCCGAUGGCGGAUUAGCUAGUUGGCGGGGUAAAGGCCCACCAAGGCGACGAUGCGUAGCUGAUCUGAGAGGAUGAGCAGACACACUGGAACUGAGACACGGUCCAGCCUCCUACGGGAGGACGCAGUGGGGAAUAUUGGACAAUGGGCGAAAGCCUGAUACAGCCAUGCCGCGUGGGUGAAGAAGGCCUUCGGGUUGUAAAGCUCUUUUGUUGGGAAAGAAAAGAAGCAGGUUAAUACCCCGCUGUUCUGACGGUACCCAAAGAAUAAGCACCGGCUAACUUCGUG
rnacentral:rRNA from 1 species